rnacentral:rRNA from 1 species
GUGUAGGCUGGUUUUCCAGGCAAAUCCGGAAAAUCAAGGCUGAGGCGUGAUGACGAGGCACUGCGGUGCUGAAGCAACAAAUGCCCUGCUUCCAGGAAAAGCCUCUAAGCAUCAGGUAACAUCAAAUCGUACCCCAAACCGACACAGGUGGUCAGGUAGAGAAUACCAAGGCGCUUGAGAGAACUCGGGUGAAGGAACUAGGCAAAAUGGUGCCGUAACUUCGGGAGAAGGCACGCUGAUAUGUAGGUGAAGUCCCUCGCGGAUGGAGCUGAAAUCAGUCGAAGAUACCAGCUGGCUGCAACUGUUUAUUAAAAACACAGCACUGUGCAAACACGAAAGUGGACGUAUACGGUGUGACGCCUGCCCGGUGC